rnacentral:rRNA from 1 species
UGGGGAAUCUUCCGCAAUGGACGAAAGUCUGACGGAGCAACGCCGCGUGAACGAUGACGGCCUUCGGGUUGUAAAGUUCUGUUAUACGGGACGAAUGGUACGACGGCCAAUACCCGUCGUAAGUGACGGUACCGUAAGAGAAAGCCACGGCUAACUACGUGCCAGCAGCCGCGGUAAUACGUAGGUGGCAAGCGUUGUCCGGAAUUAUUGGGCGUAAAGGGCGCGCAGGCGGCGUCGUAAGUCGGUCUUAAAAGUGCGGGGCUUAACCCCGUGAGGGGACCGAAACUGCGAUGCUAGAGUAUCGGAGAGGAAAGCGGAAUUCCUAGUGUAGCGGUGAAAUGCGUAGAUAUUAGGAGGAACACCAGUGGCGAAAGCGGCUUUCUGGACGACAACUGACGCUGAGGCGCGAAAGCCAGGGGAGCAAACGGGAUUAGAUACCCCGGUAGUCCUGGCCGUAAACGAUGGAUACUAGGUGUAGGAGGUAUCGACCCCUUCUGUGCCGGAGUUAACGCAAUAAGUAUCCCGCCUGGGGAGUACGGCCGCAAGGCUG